UAUGUAGGCGGUGUGGAAAGUCAGAUGUGAAAUCUCCAGGCUCAACCUAGAAACUGCAUCCGAUACUACCACACUAGAGUAAUGGAGGGGUGACUGGAAUUCUCGGCGUAGCAGUGAAAUGCGUAGAUAUCGAGAGGAACACUCGUGGCGAAGGCGAGUCACUGGACAUUUACUGACGCUGAGAUACGAAGGCCAGGGUAGCGAAAG
rnacentral:rRNA from 1 species